rnacentral:rRNA from 1 species
UACGGGAGGCAGCAGUGGGGGAUAUUGCACAAUGGGGGAAACCCUGAUGCAGCGACGCCGCGUGAGCGAAGAAGUAUUUCGGUAUGUAAAGCCCUAUCAGCAGGGAAGAAAAUGACGGUACCUGACUAAGAAGCUCCGGCUAAAUACGUGCCAGCAGCCGCGGUAAU